GACGAACGCUGGCGGCGUGCCUAAUACAUGCAAGUUGAGCGCUGAAGGUUGGUACUUGUACCGACUGGAUGAGCAGCGAACGGGUGAGUAACGCGUGGGGAAUCUGCCUUUGAGCGGGGGACAACAUUUGGAAACGAAUGCUAAUACCGCAUAAAAACUUUAAACACAAGUUUUAAGUUUGAAAGAUGCAAUUGCAUCACUCAAAGAUGAUCCCGCGUUGUAUUAGCUAGUUGGUGAGGAAAAGGCUCACCAAGGCGAUGAUACAUAGCCGACCUGAGAGGGUGGUCGGCCACAAUGGGACUGAGACACGGCCCAAACUCCUACGGGAGGCAGCAGGAGGGAAUCUUCGGCAAUGGACGAAAGGCUGACCGAGCAACGCCGCGGGAGUGAAGAAGGGUUUCGGAUCGUAAAACUCUGUUGGUAGGGAAGAACGUUGGUGAGAGUGGAAAGCUCAUCAAGUGACGGUAACUACACAGAAAGGGACGGCUAACUACGUG
rnacentral:rRNA from 1 species